rnacentral:lncRNA from 1 species
UGCCUACCCUCCUCUCCAUUCUCACGUACUUGACGCCUUCCUUCUCUUCCUCGCGCUUCCUCUCUCCGCUGAUCACCAGCACAUUGUCGUCCUCCACCUGAACCUUGAUGUCGCCGGACUUCAGCCCCGGCAUGUCGACGAUGAAGGUGUAGGAAUUCGGGUACUCCUUGACGUCAGCAGGCGUCGCCGCCAUGGCCUUGGCGUCGCGGACGUAGGUGCGAGUGGGGGCGCUGACGGACUUGUCGGAGUCAUCGGUGGCGUCUAGCAUGUGUUGGAGGGCAGAGAAGAGUGGAGAAUCGAAGCCCAUCAUCCUCGAAUCCAUGUUGGGUGUCAGAGAUUUGUUGGUGUGAGAUUGUGAACAACUGCAAUUGCGAAUGUAGAAGUGCUUGAAUGUUGGAAGAAAUCGGAGGCAGUGAUGUGGAUUUUAUAGAAGACGAGUUGGGAAACAGAGGAAGGUUCUGGAAAGAACAAGAAGAGGAGAAUUGGGGGUUUGUCUUUGUUGGCUCUGCUCCAACGGUUCCAGAACCAGAAGUUUGUGGAAGUUUCUCCUAAAUGACUAAAGUACCCCUUAUUUGUUCAUAAAAAAUUACCUUUUGAAAGAAGUUCCAUUUCUACUUACACAGUAGUUCACAAAUCUUUUAUCAUAUUAUUAUCAACAAGCUAUGGUUUUGAUCAAUGCUUGGUGUAAAUUUUUAUUUUGAUUUUAGAAGAAAAAAAAAGACAUAAUUUUAAAAGGUAUUAUUAUAGUAAAAGUUAAAAUAAAUUUUUUAAAUAAAAUCAUUUUUUAGGAAAUGUUUAAAAAACCAACUUAAUAAUUUAAAGUGAAUUAAUAAUUUAAUUUAAGUUAUUAAGUAAAUUAAGUAUGUUUGGUAAAAUAACUUAAUGAUAUCACUAAAAAUAAAAAUAAAAAUUAAUUUUUAAAUAAAAAUAAUUAACUUAUUCUUAAAUCUAUAUUUUUAUUUUUAUUUACCAUCAUUUAUCCGAAUUAUUCUCAUAAUCUAUUUUACUACUUCAUGAUUUCCAUUGUUACUUAAACUACUUUGUCCUCAUUAUAAUUUAUGAAAAUAAUCAUAUCAAUUUGAUGAUUUACAAUAAAUUUUCAGUUAAUUUUAUUAAACAACCUUAAUAUUUGAAAUGAGAAUUAAGUAAUAAGUUUUAAGACUAAUAAUUUAAGUAUAAUUUAACUUAAAAUCAACUUAAAUAAUUAAAUAAUAAGUAAUAAGUUUUACCAAAUAUCAUUUUAAUAUUGUUCUUAUAAUAAAGUUAGUUAAAUAAAUAUAAGAAUUUUUAUUAAUCAUAUAAUAGAGUUUUUGAACUUAGAUUCACUUCAAUCCAACUUGUGUUUUAUCUUUUAAAAUUUAAAAGUUAAACAUAUCUAAGCAUCAACAAUUUAAAAAAAUUUGCUCUUUAUUUCUAAAUCGUACAUUAAUAAUAAUAGACUAAUCAAUUAUGAGUAUGGAUAAUUUGCCCCUUAUAAAUUGUUGGUUUAAGGGUAUGAAAAAAAGGACUAGUCCAAAGCACACAAAUAAAUAACGUAAUGAAUAGUAAGAAAAAUUUAUAGGUUGAGGUGUAACAAACAUUGUCCUUAAAAUAGAUCAACUCUCCUCGAAGACGAACUUGGUACACUUAGGUACUAGUGGUCCACCUUCAGGAUUCAAUAGUCAUUGAGUGCACUUUGUAAGCGAGACGUGUACAACUCAGGUUCAUGAAAAAUUCGUAUUCAUAUUUAGAGAGUGAUGAGUGAUAUGCUUUUAUGACUAAUAAAAUAAGAUAAAAAAAAAAAAGUAGCAUAGAUCAUCGCACACGUACGCAAAGGGCCUUCCACGCAAGAUGCAUGUGGGGAUCGAAGCCCCACUCAAAUGGGUUUGGCCCCAAUGGGCGCGCAAGACUCACCCACACCUCUUCACAAGCCCAUUGGGCUAAGGAAGGUUAAUAAACCCAUUAAAGAUGUUCAUCUCUUUCCUAUGUCGACAAGCAAAAAAUACUUUUCACAUUUACACUCUUCCUGCUAUGCAAGUCAAGUUGGGUACAUUUUGUUUGGAUUGAACAAGGUGUAGAAGGAUUAAAUAGAAGUACAUCAUUGAUGAUAAUAUUGCUUAAAUUUAUUUAAAGUCUUUAAUAACUUUUCAGCUUUGUAACUUCAUUAUUCUAAUACCAGUCAUUACAUUUGAUCAUUUUCAAAGAGAACAACUCUUCCCUGAGACAAAUAUGGUGUCACUCUCCCAAUCUAAAUUACAAAUUUAGAUUAUCAAAUUCCCUACCCAAAAUCUAAUCUUCCCAAUUUAAAAAAGACUUGUAGUGAAGUUGUCAACCAGAGGAAAUACCACACCUUACUAUGGCUUUUUAAUUGCCGUUAAAUCUUAAAAAUUUUCCAGGAAAAAUGAAAACGAGGCAAGGAAGAGAAAAGGCAGACUUCAUUGACGGUACUGAAAAAUCAAAACUACACAUUAUACUGUAAUGAAGAGAUCAGUAUCUUCAUCACCCCAAGCCAUUGACCCAAGAUCAAACCCAAACAAAGGCCCCUGUGGCAUUAUUUACUAUUAAAAACCCAGAAAAACCCUCCCAAAACCCCCUACAUUUCAAGCAAUUUUGACCUCAAUGGUCUUGGGCUUCUUGGGCUCCGGCGGUGGCAGCUUCUCAACGGUGACGGUCAACACCCCAUCUUGACAUACAGCAGAGAUCUUAUCAGUAUUCGCAUUCUCCGGCAACACGAACUUCCUCAUAAACUUCCCCACUCUCCUCUCCAUUCUUACGUACUUGGCACCUUCCUUCUCCUCCUCCCGCUUCCUCUCUCCGCUGAUCACCAGCACAUUGCCGUCCUCCACCUGAACCUUGAUGUCGCCGGACCUCAGCCCCGGCAUGUCGACGAUGAAGGUGUAGGAAUUCGGGUACUCCUUGACGUCAGCCGGCGUCGCCGCCAUGGCCUUGGCGUCCCGGACGUAGGUGCGGGUGGGAGCGUUGAGAGACUUGUCGGAAUCGUCGCCGGCGUCGAGCAUGUGUUGGAGGGUUGAGAAGAGUGGAGAAUCAAAACCCAUGACCCUCAAAUCCAUUUUGCUUUUCAGCGAUUAGUCUCUGAGAUCUGCUAAGAUUUGUAAAUGAAAAUGUUGGAAUUGAUUUUCUUAUGAGGAAUUCAUGCCGGUGGUGUGGUUCUUAUAGGUGGUGGGUUUGGGUUUGGAAGCAGAGGAGUUUCUGGAAGAAGAGAGAAGAGCAACACUGGUAGCUUCCGGAGCUUUGACUCAAAAUAGUGUGUUUUAAAAAAAAUUUCAAAAAAUAAAGUUGUUUUGAAAAUAAUGUCCGAUCUGAUGCGUCUUGUGUCACAUAAACUGCCAUGUCAUAAAACCGUAGUUGGUGACUACGGUUUUAUUUUUCUAAAGUGGUUAGAAACCAUAGUUACCAACCACAGUUUUAACUUUAAGUUUAAAUAUAGUGCCUAUUGUUUUAAUAAAAUUUAAAAAUAUAUUUUUAUAUCAAAUUAAAAAUAUCAAUUAUUUAAUUUCGUAUAUUAUUAUUUUUAAAAUAAUGAAAUAAGUAUAUUUAAAAUCAAAAUAAUAUAAUAUUUUUAUUAAAAAAAUUAAAGUUAUAUAUAAAUAUAUAUAAAGUUAAAACCGCAGUUGGUGACUACGACUUUGACCAUCUUAAAAAAAAGUCAAAGCCGUAGUCACCAAUUACGACUUUAAACUUAAAGUUAAAACCGUUAUUGGUAACUACAAUUUCUAACCACUUUAGAAAAAUAAAAUCAUAGUUACCAACUACGAUUUUAUGAUAUGACAGCUUAUGUGGCACAGACGCAUUAGAUCGAGCAUUAUUUUCAAAACAACUUUAUUUUUUGGAAUUUUUUUUUAAAACGCACUAUUUUGGAUCAAAGCUCUAGCUUCCGGAAGUUUUAUGGACCUUCUUACAAGUUAAAACGGAAAAAGUCAAAUUGACUAAAGUGCCCUUCUGUCUCUAUGGCUGCAAAAUCCCGUUAUGUGGACGCCUUGAAUGUUGUUGCUGUAAUUAAGACAGCAAUCUAAAUUUUUUCACCGAUACCCUUUUACAGUAUCCGUCUCCCGUGUAGAAGUUUUCACCCGUGGGUAACCGAUAAGAACAACAAAACAAUUAAAAUCUCUAUAACAUUCCCCAAAAAAUAAAAAAAUAAAAAAUUGUUCUCAAAUUAGAUAAUCACCUAACAAAACAAAUCUAGAAUGUUUGAAUUGAUUUUCAAUUAAAUUAUAUUUAAAUUAUUAAUUUAAAAUUUAUUAUUUAAUCAAUAUUUUAAAUAUUAAAAUUAUUUAAUAAAAUUAACUUAAAAUUUAUUCUAAAUUAUCAAAUUAAUAUAUUUAUUACCAUCAAUAAUAAUUAAAAUAAAACAUCGAUAAAAAAAUAAAAUAAAAAUAUAGAUGUAAAAAUAAAUUAAAAUUAUCUUUUAUUUUAAAUCAUAAUAUUAAAUUAUUUUACCAAAUAUACUAUACUUAAUUUAAUUAAUGACUUAAUUUAAAUUAUUAAAUUAAUUUACCUAUAUAUUAUAAUCUUAUAAACACACCCACCUACAAAUUUUCAAGAUUUCUAAAAUAUCCUUCUUUUUAUAAUCUUUCACAUGUCUUUUUUCUUCCUUUUUUCCAAAACUUAUUUGUUAGCAAAAGGAUAUUUAAGGUAAAUUUAUAGUUAAUUUCAACUUUACAAAUUUUAAUAAAAAAUUAUUACUUAGAAAUAAUUUAAAAAAUAUUUUAGAAGUGAAAAAUGCUGAAAACCCAAAAAAAUAAAAGGAAAAAAAUUCAUAGUAAUUCAAACUUGUAAUACUAAACAUAGAAAGAAAUUAUGUCGGAAAAUAUAGUUGCAAACAACUUUGUGAAUAUUUGAAAUAUUUUAAGGCUAUUUUGCAAUGUUUUAAAAAUCGGAUUGAUUAUUGAAUAAAAAAAGUUAUCGGUACAUGGUUCACUAGUUGGACCGUCGGUCGAACCGCUAUCGAACCGGUGACGUCAUAAAUAUAUAUUUUAUUAUUUUAUAUAAUAUAAAAAAUUAAAACAUUAAUAAAUUCUAUGUAAAUUUUGACAACAUCUAUUUUGUUUAUUGAGUAACUUGAGUUUUGUCACAAAAUUUUUUACCUGUAGAAGUCAUCAAUUAUCAUAUAUGAUAUUUAUAAAACAAUAUAAGAUGUUAUACAUUCAUAAUAUCAAUAAACUCAACAUUAUCAAAUAAUCAAACCAUUACUAUCCUAUAAUAACCAAAUUAUCAAAGAGUUAUUAACUUAACACAUUGUCCAUAACAAAUAAUACAAAUAUCAACCAUAGGUCCACAACACUAAAAUAAUUACUCAAAAUAAAAACAUAACAUGUCAAUGUUUGAAUAUUCAUGAAGAUUUUUGCAUACUAAUAAAUAUAAAAUUCAUGUUUUCAUUCAUUUUGGAAAUUGGAAUAUGGAGAUUGAAAAUGAGCAUUUGAAAAACCAAAAAAAAAAAUUAAAAUCAUUUGAACCGGUUUUUUUCCUCAGAACCGGCCGGUUCGUCUGGUUCACCGGUUGGACCGCCAGUUCAAGCGGUCCAAUCCCGAUUCGGUCUCCAUCCGGUCUAAUGACCGGACCGAACCGGAACGGUGACCGACCGACGGUCCAACCGGUCUAGUCCGGUUUUUAAAACCAUGCUAUUUUGGUUAUUUUAAUAAAAACAUUUUUGUUUUUAUUUUUUUAUAUUUUAAUUUUUUUUUAAAUAUAUCUUCAAAACAAAAACAAAUUCAAGCAUAUGUAAUCGUGACCCAAUUCGGUUAGCAAAUCCAAAAUCUAAUCCCAACAUAAAACCUUAAUAUAUAUGGCACCUUAAAUUUGAGGUAAUGAAAAUGGCACACUAAAAAUAAGGGAAAAGGUUUCACUCGUAGAGAUGAAGAUUGAAGACUACAUACUGACUUGGGAGACAUCGGGUACAAGAUCCCAAAAACCAACACACCCUCAUAUACACCGAACCCAAACACAACCCAAAAUCACGCAAAAUCCAAGAAGAUAUAAACACAAGCUCGUCACAUCCAUGACCUCAAAUUUCCAAACCCCAAAGAUCUCAAGCAACCUUCACCUCAAUGGUCUUGGGCUUCUUCGGCUCCGGCGGUGGCAGCUUCUCAACGGUGACGGUCAACACACCAUCUUGACAAACCGCAGAGAUCUUAUCAGUAUUCGCAUUUUCCGGCAACACAAACUUCCUCAUAAACUUCCCCACCCUCCUCUCCAUUCUCACGUACUUGGCGCCUUCCUUCUCCUCCUCCCGCUUCCUUUCUCCGCUGAUCACCAGCACAUUGUCGUCCUCCACCUGCACCUUGAUGUCGCCGGACUUCAGCCCCGGCAUGUCGAUGAUGAAGACAUAGGAAUUGGGGUACUCCUUGACGUCGGCCGGCGUCGCAGCCAUGGCCUUGGCGUCGCGAACGUAGGUGCGGGUUGGAGCGCUGACGGGCUUAUCAGCGUCAUCGACGCCGUCGAGCAUGUGUUGGAGGGUUGAGAGUGGAGAAUCGAAGCCCAUGAUUCUCAAGUCCAUAUUGGAUUUUCAGACGAUGAUUGAUGAGUAG